AGAGCGAACGCUGGCGGCAGGCCUAACACAUGCAAGUCGAGCGCCCGUAGCAAUACGGGAGCGGCAGACGGGAGAGUAACACGUGGGAACGUACCCUUUGGUUCGGAACAACACAGGGAAACUUGUGCUAAAUACCGGAUAAGCCCUUACGGGGAAAGAUUUAUUGCCAAAGGAUCGGCCCGCGUCUGAUUAGCUUGUUGGUGAGGUAACGGCUCACCAAGGCUACGAUCAGUAGCUGGUCUGAGAGGAUGAUCAGCCUCACUGGGACUGAGACACGGCCCAGACUCCUACGGGAGGCAGCAGUGGGGAAUAUUGGACAAUGGGCGCAAGCCUGAUCCAGCCAUGCCGCGUGGAUGAUGAAGGCCCUAGGGUUGUAAAGUCCUUUCGACGGGGAAGAUAAUGACGGUACCCGUAGAAGAAGCCCGGCUAACUUCGUGCCAGCAGCCGC
rnacentral:rRNA from 1 species